UGAGGAAUCUUGCGCAAUGGGGGAAACCCUGACGCAGCAACGCCGCGUGAGUGGGGAAGGCCUUCGGGUCGUAAAGCUCUGUCAGAUGGGAAGAAAUGGGUGGGGGCUAAUAUCGUCCAUCCUUGACGGUACCAUCAGAGGAAGCACCGGCUAACUCCGUGCCAGCAGCCGCGGUUAUACGGGGGGUGCAAGCGUUGUUCGGAAUCAUUGGGCGUAAAGCGCGCGCAGGUGGCUUGGUAAGUCAGAUGUGAAAUCCCUGGGCUUAACCCAGGAAGUGCAUUUGAUACUGCCUCGCUAGAGUACGGGAGAGGAAAGUGGAAUUCCUGGUGUAGAGGUGAAAUUCGUAGAUAUCAGGAGGAACACCGGUGGCGAAGGCGACUUUCUGGCCCGAUACUGACGCUCAGGCGCGAAAGCGUGGGGAGCAAACAG
rnacentral:rRNA from 1 species